rnacentral:rRNA from 1 species
UCAAGUGUCUUAAGGGCAAUUGGUGGAUGCCUUGGCAUGCACAGGCGAUGAAGGACGUGAUACGCUGCGAUAAGCUACGGGGAGGUGCGAAUACCCUUUGAUCCGUAGAUUUCCGAAUGGGGAAACCCACCUAAGGUGCUUGGAAAAUCAGAGUAGCAGGGAUGCGACGAUCUCUCUGAGAUCGUGCCGUCUUGCUGCUGUGGUUUCCAAGUAUCUGUUAUAGGUAACUUAUCCUGAAUACAUAGGGAUAAAGUGGCGAACGCGGGGAACUGAAACAUCUAAGUACCCGUAGGAAAGGACAUCAACCGAGACUCCGGAAGUAGUGGCGAGCGAACCCGGACCAGGCCAGUGGCGAUUGAGAGACAAGCGGAACCUUCUGGAAAGUAGGGCCAUAGUGGGUGACAGCCCCGUACGCGUAAUGCAAUCAAUCGUCCUCGAGUAAGGCGGGACACGUGAAAUCCUGUCUGAAAUUGGGGGGACCACCCUCCAAGCCUAAGUACUCGUGCAUGACCGAUAGCGAACUAGUACCGUGAGGGAAAGGUGAAAAGCACCCCGACAAGGGGAGUGAAAGAGUACCUGAAACCGGUUGCCUACAAACAGUGGAAGCCCAAGGUUCGUCCUGGGUGACCACGUACCUUUUGUAUAAUGGGUCAGCGACUUAGUGUGACGAGCAAGCUUAAACCGCUAGGUGUAGGCGCAGCGAAAGCGAGUCUGAACAGGGCGUUCAGUUCGUCGCAUUAGACCCGAAACCGAGUGAUCUAGCCAUGAGCAGGUUGAAGGUAAGGUAACACUUACUGGAGGACCGAACCCAUAACUGUUGCAAUAGUUCGGGAUGACUUGUGGCUAGGGGUGAAAGGCCAAUCAAACUCGGAAAUAGCUGGUUCUCCGCGAAAUCUAUUUAGGUAGAGCGUCGACCGAAUACCCCAGGGGGUAGAGCACUGGAUGGGCUAGGGGUCCUCACCGGAUUACCAAACCUAACCAAACUCCGAAUACCUGGGAGUACUAGUCGGCAGACACACGGCGGGUGCUAACGUCCGUCGUGAAAAGGGAAACAACCCUGACCUACAGCUAAGGUCCCCAAGUUAUGGCUAAGUGGGAAAGGAUGUGAGGAUCCCAAAACAACCAGGAUGUUGGCUUAGAAGCAGCCAUCAUUUAAAGAAAGCGUAACAGCUCACUGGUCUAAAUAAGGGUCUUUGCGCCGAAAAUGUAACGGGGCUAAAGCCAUACACCGAAGCUUAGGGUUUGGUCCGCAAGGGCCAAGCGGUAGCGGAGCGUUCUGUAAGCUGACGAAGCCAUACCCGUGAGGGGUGGUGGAGGUAUCAGAAGUGCGAAUGCUGACAUGAGUAACGUAAGGGGAGUGAGAGACUCCCCCGCCGAAAGACCAAGGGUUCCUGCUUAAAGCUAAUCUGAGCAGGGUUAGCCGGCCCCUAAGACGAGGCGGAAACGCGUAGUCGAUGGGAACCACGUUAAUAUUCGUGGGCUUGGAGGUAGUGACGGAUCAUUGAGGUAGUCCAAUCUUAUCGGAUUGAACGGGCUGCUGCGUGGUUCCAGGAAAUAGCUCCCCCUUAUAAACCGUACCCGAAACCGACACUGGUGGUCUGGUAGAGUAUACCAAGGCGCUUGAGAGAACUAUGCUGAAGGAACUCGGCAAAUUGCACGCGUAACUUCGAGAUCGGAAGAGCGUCNGUAGUGACGGAUCAUUGAGGUAGUCCAAUCUUAUCGGAUUGAACGGGCUGCUGCGUGGUUCCAGGAAAUAGCUCCUCCUUAUAAACCGUACCCGAAACCGACACUGGUGGUCUGGUAGAGUAUACCAAGGCGCUUGAGAGAACUAUGCUGAAGGAACUCGGCAAAUUGCACGCGUAACUUCGGAAGAAGCGUGACCCUUUUCCACGCAAGUGGAGGAGGGUGGCACAGACCAGGGGGUAGCGACUGUUUAUCAAAAACACAGGGCUCUGCGAAGUCGCAAGACGACGUAUAGGGUCUGACGCCUGCCCGGUGCUGGAAGGUUAAGAGGAGGGGUGCAAGCUCUGAAUCGAAGCCCCAGUAAACGGCGGCCGUAACUAUAACGGUCCUAAGGUAGCGAAAUUCCUUGUCGGGUAAGUUCCGACCUGCACGAAUGGCGUAACGACUUCCCCGCUGUCUCCAGCAUAGACUCAGUGAAAUUGAAUUCCCCGUGAAGAUGCGGGGUUCCUGCGGUUAGACGGAAAGACCCCGUGCACCUUUACUAUAGCUUUACAUUGGCAUUCGUAGUGGCAUGUGUAGGAUAGGUGGUAGGCUUUGAAACCUGGGCGCCAGCUCAGGUGGAGCCACCCUUGAAAUACCACCCUUAUUACUAUGGAUGUCUAACCGCGGCCCGUUAUCCGGGUCCGGGACAAUGUAUGGUGGGUAGUUUGACUGGGGCGGUCGCCUCCUAAAGAGUAACGGAGGCGCGCGAUGGUGGGCUCAGAACGGUCGGAAAUCGUUCGCUGAGUGCAAUGGCAUAAGCCUGCCUGACUGCGAGACUGACAAGUCGAGCAGAGACGAAAGUCGGUCAUAGUGAUCCGGUGGUCCCGCGUGGAAGGGCCAUCGCUCAACGGAUAAAAGGUACGCCGGGGAUAACAGGCUGAUGACCCCCAAGAGUCCAUAUCGACGGGGUUGUUUGGCACCUCGAUGUCGACUCAUCGCAUCCUGGGGCUGGAGCAGGUCCCAAGGGUAUGGCUGUUCGCCAUUUAAAGCGGUACGUGAGUUGGGUUCAGAACGUCGUGAGACAGUUCGGUCCCUAUCUGCCGUGGGUGUAGGAAUAUUGAAAGGAUCUGUCCCUAGUACGAGAGGACCGGGAUGGACGGAUCUCUGGUGGACCUGUUGUGGCGCCAGCCGCAUAGCAGGGUAGCUAUAUCCGGACGGGAUAACCGCUGAAGGCAUCUAAGCGGGAAACCCACCUUAAAACGAGUAUUCCCUGAGAACCGUGGAAGACGACCACGUUGAUAGGCCGGGUGUGGAAGAGCGGCAACGCUUGAAGCUUACCGGUACUAAUAGUUCGAUCGGCUUGAUCGU